rnacentral:miRNA from 12 species
CCCUGCUCCGUGCCGUCAGAUGGUCGGGCCCGGGCGGUGAGUGGGGUCCGGGCUGGGGCCGGGGCCGAGGCUGGGGUCGGGG